rnacentral:rRNA from 1 species
UACGAGGGGAGCUAGCGUUGUUCGGAAUUACUGGGCGUAAAGGGCGCGUAGGCGGUGCCAUAAGUCAGAUGUGAAAGCCCUGGGCUUAACCUAGGAUGUGCAUUUGAAACUGUGGGACUAGAGAUCGAGAGAGGAAAGCGGAAUUACGAGUGUAGAGGUGAAAUUCGUAGAUAUUCGUAAGAACACCAGUGGCGAAGGCGGCUUUCUGGCUCGAUACUGACGCUAAGGCGCGAAAGCGUGGGGAGCAAACAGG